rnacentral:rRNA from 1 species
AGUCGAACGGAAAGGCCAGUGCUUGCACUGGUACUCGAGUGGCGAACGGGUGAGUAACACGUGGGUGAUCUGCCCUGCACUUCGGGAUAAGCCUGGGAAACUGGGUCUAAUACCGGAUAGGACCACAUUUUGGAUGGUGUGGUGGAAAGUUUUUCGGUGUGGGAUGAGCUCGCGGCCUAUCAGCUUGUUGGUGGGGUAAUGGCCUACCAAGGCGUCGACGGGUAGCCGGCCUGAGAGGGUGUACGGCCACAUUGGGACUGAGAUACGGCCCAGACUCCUACGGGAGGCAGCAGUGGGGAAUAUUGCACAAUGGGCGCAAGCCUGAUGCAGCGACGCCGCGUGGGGGAUGACGGCCUUCGGGUUGUAAACUCCUUUCGCUAGGGACGAAGCGCAAGUGACGGUACCUGGAGAAGAAGCACCGGCUAACUACGUGCCAGCAGCCGCGGUAAUACGUAGGGUGCGAGCGUUGUCCGGAAUUACUGGGCGUAAAGAGCUCGUAGGUGGUUUGUCGCGUCGUUUGUGUAAGCCCGCAGCUUAACUGCGGGACUGCAGGCGAUACGGGCAUAACUUGAGUGCUGUAGGGGAGACUGGAAUUCCUGGUGUAGCGGUGGAAUGCGCAGAUAUCAGGAGGAACACCGAUGGCGAA